GGGGCCUAGUGGUAGAUGUCUGGGUCAUGAGGGUGGAUCAUGACCCAGCAGGCACCAAGUGACAUGGCUGCUCCUGCUUUGCCUUCCACCAUGGGAAAAGCUCCCUGAGGCCUCCCCAGAAGUCAGGCAGAUGCUGGCACCAUGCUUGUACAGCCCACAGAACUGAGAACCAAUUAAACCUCUAUUCUUUAUAAAUUACCCAGUCUCAGGUAUUUCUUCAUAGCAAUGCAAGUACAGAAUGUACAUGAAACUGGUAAAACUCAUUGACUUAGAGAUGUGUUCAUCAACUGUAACUGAGCAGAUUAUUUACAUUAAAUAACUAGCUAAAAAAGAAAUACCAUCCAAUCAGACAAACAGCAGCCUAACAACAAAACUGUAUUAGGACAAUGGUGAUGUUUUAUUUAUCCUGGCAGAUUCCAUUAUGCCUCACCACAGAAAGCAUCUAUUACCUACUUAUUGAAUAAACACAGUACUAAUCAUUGGUAGAGGGUCUGAGACUGAACAAUGUUACCAGUGUUAUUCAGCAUUGUGUAGUGAGAAGGAAACAGAUAUUUAAUAAUCAGAUGAAUAUUCAAAAUUCAACAUGUGUUACUUGACAUUGAACAGGUGAUUUUAGCUCUCCAGAGCCUUUCCUGAUUUGUAAAAUGACAUCUCUGAGGACUAUUGUGAAGAUGAAUGAGUAAACAUGUGCAAGUUCACUGUUAAUGGGGAUGAAGGUAUAGUAUUAUUUUGAACACCAUUAUUAGUUUUGUAUGAAUAUUAGCCAUCUCAUGAUGGGAGUGACUAUGUCCUGAUAAUCCAUUGCUUUCUCUCCUAAGGUUUAGGGGAAGUUUUUGCAAUUCCCAAAUGGUUUUGUCUUUUAAAUACAGAAAGCAGAAAUUCAUAAGUAAAUGUGAAGGCAACUAGAGGUUCCAGUUCUUACCCAGUAUUUGAUUUCUAGGCAGGAACACCAGCCAUUUGGGCAUUCAGGCACUGGAGAAGUUAAUGCCUUUUGUUUCCUUUACAUCAAGACUGAAGAUAUGAGAGAUACAUUUCCUGGAGUCACAGAGAUACAUGCAGGUAAUAGUAGAAAAUUUUACCUGAGUUAGAGAAAGACUGAAAUCUACUCAGUAAGUCCCAAGCUGUACAUUUAGACAUGGUUGGUAAAGUUCCUGAACUCUAAACAGAAGAUCUUAUAAACAUCCAGGCAGAAAGAACAAGUUACUUAUAAGGAAAGAGGUUACACUGGCAAUGAAAGAGCCAGUCUAUCCACCCUGAGACAAACAGCAUCUAUCCACCCUGAGAGAAUGGACUGCCUCCAGUGAUCCUUUACCUGGCCAAUUAAUUAUUCAUCUUUCAGGGCAAAAGAAAAGUAACUAGAAAAGAGGCCUCAAGAUGGAAUUAGAGAAUAGGAAACACUGGUUACUCAUGUAAAUUUAAAUUUAAUUGGGGAGGGAUAGAUUUCUUAGGAUUAUGACAAUAAGGACGCAAAAUUUAGAAGAGAAGGGUAGCAAAAUCAUUCUGAAGUUCUCACUGUGACAGCAGUGAAGGAGGUAAGUAUAUUCUCAAGAAGGACAGGGAACUGUUCUGCCAUUAUUAGAAUAUAGUAUUAACUCUGCAAUCAAAUAAAUAUGGUAUUGAUUAAGAAAAAGACAAAAAGAAUAGUUGAACAGAAUAGAGAUUCCAGAUGCAGAUCCUAGGUUACACAAGAAUUUGAUAUGUGACAAAGUUGUUUAAUUCUGUUAGACAAAGAAAAACUGUUCAGUAAGUGGUGUUGAUAUCCAUUUUUGGUAUAAGAAAUGGACUCCUAUAUAAUACUGUAAAAGCCAAAGUAAAUUCCAGAUGGGUUAAAACAAUUUUUUAAAAAAUAUCUAGAAAACUACAUGUAUUAUCUAAGAAAAGAGGUAUUUCUCUCUGUCCUAUAUUAUUCUAUACAAAUAUAUGCAUAAAAAUUAACCAAAAACUCCUCAAUCAAUCCAAUAAAAGUUGGAAAAGGAAUCCUUAAGAAAGCACAAUACAUAGAAACCAUAAUAUGUUAAGAGUAAGUGUAAACAUAUGCACAAAAAUAUGAAUCGUUGUAUUUACCUACUCAUCUUAACUUGGGUGAAAUAAUAAGAAAAUCUAGCUCUACGUCCAAAAUAAACUGACAUUAGGAAAGAAGGAAAAAAGAUAUCCCUCCUUUUUUUUUUGUAUUUGAAAAACUGAACAAUCUACCAAGUAGAUAUAAUAGCAACGAACCUCUAUAUACUUAAAAACAAGGUUAAAAAAUAAACUGAGGUUUAGCAGAAACAGAUACAAAACAAUCACACUGAGAUCCUAAACUAUCUUUCAUAGAAUCUGACAAAUUAUAUAGAAAAUAGAUGAGUAGGCCGGACACAGUGGCUCGUGCCUGUAAUCCUAGCACUUUGGGAGGCCGAGGCGGGUGGAUCACCUGAGGUCAGGAGUUCAAGACCAGCUUUGCCAACAUGGCUAAACUCCACCUCUACUAAAAAAUACAAAAAUUAGCCACGCACGGUGGCAGGCACCUGUAAUCCCAGGUACUUGGGAGGCUGAGGCAGGAGAAUCGCUUGAACCCAGGAGGCGGAGAUUGCAGUGAGCCGAGAUUGUGCCACUGCACUCCAGCCUGGGCAACAGA
rnacentral:lncRNA from 1 species